UGGGGAAUAUUGCACAAUGGGCGCAAGCCUGAUGCAGCCAUGCCGCGUGUGUGAAGAAGGCCUUCGGGUUGUAAAGCACUUUCAGCGAGGAGGAAGGUGGUGAACUUAAUACGUUCAUCAAUUGACGUUACUCGCAGAAGAAGCACCGGCUAACUCCGUGCCAGCAGCCGCGGUAAUACGGAGGGUGCAAGCGUUAAUCGGAAUUACUGGGCGUAAAGCGCACGCAGGCGGUUUGUUAAGUCAGAUGUGAAAUCCCCGGGCUCAACCUGGGAACUGCAUUUGAAACUGGCAAGCUAGAGUCUCGUAGAGGGGGGUAGAAUUCCAGGUGUAGCGGUGAAAUGCGUAGAGAUCUGGAGGAAUACCGGUGGCGAAGGCGGCCCCCUGGACGAAGACUGACGCUCAGGUGCGAAAGCGUGGGGAGCAAACAGAUUAGAUACCCUGGUAGUCACGCUGUAAACGAUGUCGAUUUUGGA
rnacentral:rRNA from 1 species